UUAAUUUCUUGGCAAAGUAAUGGAAACAUUAUGACGCAAAGCUAUAGGGCCUUUUAAAUGGCAGCCAGUUGCAAUU
rnacentral:ncRNA from 1 species